AGAACGAACGCUGGCGGCGUGGAUAAGACAUGCAAGUCGAACGCUGACAUUUAGGUAGCAAUAUUUGAAUGUCGGAGUGGCGCAAGGGUGUGUAACACGUGGGCAAUCUGCCGUGAAGACUGGAAUAACUCGCUGAAAGGCGAGCUAAUACCGGAUGUGAACGCAAGUUCAAAGUUGGGGACCGCAAGGCCUGACGCUUUACGAUGAGCCCGCGGCCUAUCAGCUAGUUGGUGAGGUAACGGCUCACCAAGGCUAAGACGGGUAGCUGGUCUGAGAGGACGACCAGCCACACUGGAACUGAGACACGGUCCAGACACCUACGGGUGGCAGCAGUCGAGAAUUUUUCACAAUGGGGGAAACCCUGAUGGAGCGACGCCGCGUGGAGGAUGAAGGUUCUUGGAUUGUAAACUCCUGUCACUGCAGAACAAGGAUACGCCAGUUAACAGCCGGCGUAUUUGAUGGUAUGCGGAGAGGAAGGGACGG
rnacentral:rRNA from 1 species